rnacentral:rRNA from 1 species
GACGAACGCUGGCGGCGUGCCUAAUACAUGCCAGUCGAACGCAUUUUCUUUCACCGUAGCUUGCUACACCGAAAGAAAAUGAGUGGCGAACGGGUGAGUAACACGUGGGUAACCUGCCCAUCAGCGGGGGAUAACACUUGGAAACAGGUGCUAAUACCGCAUAAUUCCAUUUACCGCAUGGUAAAUGGAUGAAAGGCGCUUUUGCGUCACUGAUGGAUGGACCCGCGGUGCAUUAGCUAGUUGGUGGGGUAACGGCCUACCAAGGCUGCGAUGCAUAGCCGACCUGAGAGGGUGAUCGGCCACACUGGGACUGAGACACGGCCCAGACUCCUACGGGAGGCAGCAGUAGGGAAUCUUCGGCAAUGGACGCAAGUCUGACCGAGCAACGCCGCGUGAGUGAAGAAGGUUUUCGGAUCGUAAAACUCUGUUGUUAGAGAAGAACAAGGAUGAGAGUGGAAAGUUCAUCCCUUGACGGUAUCUAACCAGAAAGCCACGGCUAACUACGUG